ACCAGCGCGCCCCACACCGCGCGCCUCCCCUGGCGGUCCCCAGGCUGCAGGCAGGGCGCACGCCAGCCCUUGGCACCCUACUGCCGAACCCCCGCAGCUGGGGCUGGCCUUCGUGCUCACGGAAGCAGAAAAUCCAGGAGCUCGGCCUCUGAGCACCCACACCCAGACCUGGUGUGUGACGAUAGCCUGCCUUUGAGACAGAUGAUCUGAGAAUCAGCGCAGACGCUACCAUGAUAAUUCCCAGGGAAGCUGCACAAACUUGCUGCUUGCACCCUCAAGACCACAGUGGGAGUUCAACGAAAUCACGCUUCCCCGCCCCGCACCGUCCCCCUCUUUUCCUGGGGUGUAGGAACCUCGGCUGCAACACUUCGUCCAAUCUGCUGAUCUCUACGCCCGUACUUGUUGCAAUCCACGCACCUAAGGGAGAAUCAGGAUGAAACAGGAUGCUGGAGAAGCAACGGCACAGAAUACUAUUUGAAGACAGACAUACGGCCCUUAGUUUUUAAUGCGUCCACUUUAGUGACUUCAGCGCCAUUUACAAGACACGUGCCUUUAUGGAGUAAAACUCAUUUUCUGAAUCUCCUCAUUCGCGUAGUAGUAGCUGUCUGUUUUAAUAUGAUAGAUUUAUGAGGGAAGUUACAUGCGGUUUUAAAUCAUUUUCUGAUUGAACUGUUUGUCACCACUGCAAGCUGACACUUUAGUAAUGUCCACAGGAUAUUGGCACAUUUGUCAGGUUAUUCUGACCAAAUAUACUUUGGUAUUUAUCUUGGGUUUUAAAGUGUGGUUACCAAACUAGCAGCAUCAUCAGCACCAUCUGGGGGGAAUUUAGUAAAAAUGAAAG